AACGAACGCUGGCGGCAUGCCUAACACAUGCCAGUCGAACGAUGCCUUCGGGCAUAGUGGCGCACGGGUGCGUAACGCGUGGGAAUCUGCCUUUCGGUUCGGAAUAACUCAGGGAAACUUGAGCUAAUACCGGAUAACGUCGCAAGACCAAAGAUUUAUCACCGAAAGAUGAGCCCGCGUAGGAUUAGCUAGUUGGUGAGGUAAAGGCUCACCAAGGCGACGAUCCUUAGCUGGUCUGAGAGGAUGAUCAGCCACACUGGGACUGAGACACGGCCCAGACUCCUACGGGAGGCAGCAGUGGGAAAUAUUGGACAAUGGGCGAAAGCCUGAUCCAGCAAUGCCGCGUGAGUGAUGAAGGCCUUAGGGUUGUAAAGCUCUUUUACCCGGGAAGAUAAUGACGGUACCGGGAGAAUAAGCCCCGGCUAACUCCGUG
rnacentral:rRNA from 1 species